CUUAGGCAAAUCCGGGGACAUAAUUCCGAGACGUGACGACGAGCUCCCUUUCAGGGAGUGAAGUGACUGAUGCCAUGCUUCCAAGAAAAACCUCUAAGCUUCAGAUUACAAGUGACCGUACCCCAAACCGACACAGGUGGAUGAGGAGAGAAUCCUAAGGCGUUUGAGAUAACCAUGGUGAAGGAACUCGGCAAAAUGACACCGUAACUUCGGGAGAAGGUGUGCCCUUGGUAUGUGAAGGCCCUGCGGCUGGAGCAGAGAAGGGUUGCAAAUACUAGGUGGUCGCGACUGUUUAUUAAAAACACAGCACUCUGCAAACUCGUAAGAGGACGUAUAGGGUGUGACGCCUGCCCGGUGCCGGAAGGUUAAUUGAUGGGGUCAGCCGCAAGGCGAAGCUCUUGAUCGAAGCCCCGGUAAACGGCGGCCGUAACGAUAACGGUCCUAAGGUAGCGAAAUUCCUUGUCGGGUAAGUUCCGACCUGCACGAAUGGCGUAACGAUGGCCACACUGUCUCCACCAUGGACUCAGUGAAAUUGAAAUUGCGGUUAAGAUGCCGUAUACCCGCGGCUAGACGGAAAGACCCCGUGCACCUUUACUAUAGCUUUACACUGGACUUUGAACAUAUCUGUGUAGGAUAGCUGGGAGGCUUUGAGGCGGCGACGCCAGUCGUCGUGGAGCCAACCUUGAAAUACCAGCCUGGUCUGUUUGAGGUUCUAACCUAGAUCCGUAAUCCGGAUCGGGGACAGUGUAUGGUGGGUAGUUUGACUGGGGCGUCUCCUCCGAAAGAGUAACGGAGGAGCGCGAAGGUACCCUCAGCGCGGUCGGAAAUCGCGCGUUGCGUGCAAGGGCACAAGGGUGCUUGACUGCGAGACAGACACGUCGAGCAGGUACGAAAGUAGGUCUUAGUGAUCCGGUGGUUCUGAAUGGAAGGGCCAUCGCUCAACGGAUAAAAGGUACGCCGGGGAUAACAGGCUGAUACCACCCAAGAGUUCAUAUCGACGGUGGUGUUUGGCACCUCGAGUCGGCUCAUCUCAUCCUGGGGCUGAAGCCGGUCCCAAGGGUAUGGCUGUUCGCCAUUUAAAGAGGUACGCGAGCUGGGUUUAGAACGUCGUGAGACAGUUCGGUCCCUAUCUGCCGUGGGCGUUGGAGAUUUGAGAGGAGCUGCUCCUAGUACGAGAGGACCGGAGUGGACGUACCUCUGGUAUUCCGGUUGUCACGCCAGUGGCACUGCCGGGUAGCUAUGUACGGACGGGAUAACCGCUGAAAGCAUCUAAGCGGGAAGCCUCCCUCAAGAUGAGAUCUCCCUGGAACUUUAAGUUCCCUGAAGGGCCCUCGUAGACUACGAGGUUGAUAGGCUGGGUGUGGAAGUGUGGUAACACAUGAAGCUAACCAGUACUAAUUGCCCGUGAGACUUGACCA
rnacentral:rRNA from 1 species